GGGGAAUCUUCCGCAAUGGACGAAAGUCUGACGGAGCAACGCCGCGUGAGUGAUGACGGCCUUCGGGUUGUAAAGCUCUGUUAAUCGGGACGAAUGGUUCUUGUGCGAAUAGUGCGAGGAUUUGACGGUACCGGAAUAGAAAGCCACGGCUAACUACGUGCCGGCAGCCGCGGUAAUACGUAGGUGGCAAGCGUUGUCCGGAAUUAUUGGGCGUAAAGCGCGCGCAGGCGGAUUGGUCAGUCUGUCUUAAAAGUUCGGGGCUUAACCCCGUGAUGGGAUGGAAACUGCCAAUCUAGAGUAUCGGAGAGGAAAGUGGAAUUCCUAGUGUAGCGGUGAAAUGCGUAGAUAUUAGGAAGAACACCAGUGGCGAAGGCGACUUUCUGGACGAAAACUGACGCUGAGGCGCGAAAGCCAGGGGAGCGAACGGGAUUAGAUACCCCGGUAGUCCUGGCCGUAAACGAUGGGUACUAGGUGUAGGAGGUAUCGACCCCUUCUGUGCCGGGGUUAACGCAAUAAGUACCCCGCCUGGGGAGUACGACCGCAAGGUUG
rnacentral:rRNA from 1 species